CAGGAUGAACGCUAGCGACAGGCUUAACACAUGCAAGUCGAGGGGCAGCACGGGAGUAGCAAUACAACUGGUGGCGACCGGCGCACGGGUGAGUAACGCGUAUGCAACCUACCUAUCAGAGGGGAAUAACCCGGCGAAAGUCGGACUAAUACCGCAUAAAACAGGGGCACCGCAUGGUGAUAUUUGUUAAAGAAAUUCGCUGAUAGAUGGGCAUGCGUUCCAUUAGGUAGUUGGUGAGGUAACGGCUCACCAAGCCGACGAUGGAUAGGGAACUGAGAGGUUGGUCCCCCACACUGGUACUGAGACACGGACCAGACUCCUACGGGAGGCAGCAGUGAGGAAUAUUGGUCAAUGGGCGAGAGCCUGAACCAGCCAAGUCGCGUGAAGGAAGAAGGAUCUAUGGUUACGUAAACUUCUUUUGCGAGGGGAAUAAAGUGGCGGGACGUGUCCUUGUUUUGUAUGUACCCUGAGAAUAAGGAUCGGCUAACUCCGUGCCAGCCGCCGC
rnacentral:rRNA from 1 species